UACGGAGGGGGGCUAGCGUUGUUCGGAAUUACUGGGCGUAAAGCGCGCGUAGGCGGCUUUGUAAGUUAGAGGUGAAAGCCCGGAGCUCAACUCCGGGAAUUGCCUUUAAGACUGCAUCGCUAGAAUCAUGGAGAGGUUAGUGGAAUUCCGAGUGUAGAGGUGAAAUUCGUAGAUAGUUGGAAGAACACCAGUGGCGAAGGCGACUAACUGGA
rnacentral:rRNA from 1 species